rnacentral:rRNA from 1 species
UACGUAGGGUGCAAGCGUUAUCCGGAAUUAUUGGGCGUAAAGAGCUCGUAGGCGGUUUGUCACGUCUGCUGUGAAAACUGGAGGCUCAACCUCCAGCCUGCAGUGGGUACGGGCAGACUAGAGUGCGGUAGGGGAGAUUGGAAUUCCUGGUGUAGCGGUGGAAUGCGCAGAUAUCUGGAGGAACACCGGUGGCGAAGGCGGCGUUCUGGACGUGCAACUGACACUGAGGAACGAAGACCAGGGGAGGCGAAAACGGG